AUUGAACGCUGGCGGCAGGCCUAACACAUGCAAGUCGAACGAGUGGCGGACGGGUGAGUAAUGUCUGGGAAACUGCCCGAUGGAGGGGGAUAACUACUGGAAACGGUAGCUAAUACCGCAUACUAUCGGAUGUACCCAUAUGGGAUUAGCUAGUAGGUGGGGUAACGGCUCACCUAGGCGACGAUCCCUAGCUGGUCUGAGAGGAUGACCAGCCACACUGGAACUGAGAAACGGCCCAGACUCCUACGGGAGGCAGCAGUGGGGAAUAUUGCACAAUGGGCGCAAGCCUGAUGCAGCCAUGCCGCGUGUAUGAAGAAGGCCUUAGGGUUGUAAAGUACUUUCAGCGAGGAGGCGUUACCCGCAGAAGAAGCACCGGCUAACUCCGUGCCAGCAGCCGCGGUAAUUC
rnacentral:rRNA from 1 species